rnacentral:rRNA from 1 species
CAGCCGCCGCGGUAAUACGGAGGGGGCUAGCGUUGUUCGGAAUUACUGGGCGUAAAGCGCACGUAGGCGGCUUGGUAAGUUAGAGGUGAAAGCCUGGAGCUCAACUCCAGAAUUGCCUUUAAGACUGCCGAGCUAGCAGGUGAGAGAGGUAAGUGGAAUUCCGAGUGUAGAGGUAAAAUUCGUAGAUAUUCGGAAGAACACCAGUGGCGAAGGCGGCUUACUGGCUCAUACUGGACGCUGAGGUGCGAAAGCGUGGGGAGCAAACAGGAUUAGAUACCCCCGUAGUCCCUGUCUCUUAUAC